rnacentral:rRNA from 1 species
CCUACGGGUGGCAGCAGUGGGGAAUAUUGGUCAAUGGGCGCAAGCCUGAACCAGCCAAGUCGCGUGAGGGAUGACGGUCCUAUGGAUUGUAAACCUCUUUUGUCGGGGAGCAAGGCCCGCCACGUGUGGCGUGCCGGAUAGUACCCGCCGACAAAGCAUCGGCUAACUCCGUGCCAGCAGCCGCGGUAAUACGGAGGAUGCGAGCGUUCUCCGGCGUUAUUGGGUUUACAGGGUGCGUAGGCGGAAGGUUAAGUCAGCGGUAAAAGGUCGGUGCUCAACACCGGCCUGCCGUUGAGACUGGUAGGCUUGAGUGAGCGAGAAGUAGGCGGAAUGCGUGGUGUAGCGGUGAAAUGCAUAGAUAUCACGCAGAACUCCGAUUGCGAAGGCAGCAUACCGGCGCGCAACUGACGCUGAGGCACGAAAGCGUGGGGAUCGAACAGGAUUAGAUACCCCGGUAGUC